GUGAUGCUUUUCUGGUUAUACCUUCACUUCGUUACAUUCGUAUCUGCUUCUCUUCAAAGCCUUGACUCUUCUGGUUACAGCAAGGUUGUUUUUUUCAUCAGACUGAGACGAGCAGGUUUGUCAGAGUACUCUUGAUUAUGGGUCUUGCAAGACUUUUCCCUCUUAAGACAGUCUACUUGAUUUUUUUCCUAAGACAGUAUGAAUACUGACAAAGAUUCUUCUACUUAAUGUUUCCUUUGAUACCCUAAUUUUCAUCUUUGACCUUCAUAUCUCUUCCUAUUUCUCCUUCCCCUCUGUAUUUUUUAUUCCAUUGGGAAAUGGUAGAUGCUGUUGUUUAUACAAAGCUUAAAGUAUUCUUAAAUAAAAAUGUUAGAAAGGCAGAUUAAUUUAUUUGACUUACAUUUUGGGAGGUAGUUUGAAGGUAUUCCUCUCUAAAAUAUCCAGAUAAAACUUAGUUUAAUUUAGUGAAAAUAAAUCUCACUAAACUGAAGACAUAGUAUUCUGUUUCUCCAGCAGACAAAGAUUUAAGAAGACUCAAGUAGGGAAAGCUCUCCUCAUUUCCAGAGGAAAAUUAAUUCCAAAGAGGACUUAAGUGCUAAUGAUUACCAAUAUAUUUCAUGGAGAGCUGUGCUUUGCAAGGAUAUCUUAUCUAAGGUGAGCUAGAUUGCAUUUGGCUGGAUUCGGAUGAUGAGAAUCACUCUGGAUUCAGAAAUGCCUAAAUUAUUGCAGAAUGUGUUCCUGAUUUGGAAGCCCUGAAAUGUAGAGAAAUUUGUUUAAUUCCUUCAGAUUUAUUGGUUUUGUCAAGUGACAAUAUCUUGAACUCAACCCACAGAGCAUGGUAGUCAGUUAAAACAGAUUUUGAAAUUUUAUUUUGCAGUUCUGUUCAGCAAUGCUUCCAGCUCACUGUCAAGGACUGGCUGCUUCACCCUUGCCUGCUUCUUGCAGUUUUAUCUCUGGACAGACAGUUGAAACAAGCAAAACAUAAUAAUCUCAUUUGGAUCAAACUAUGAAGCUUUCAAGAAUAAAGGAAAAUACAGUCUCCUUUCUCCUUCCCCCACCAUCACUAUAACACUGAAUAAACAUAUAAGUGAUCUGCUGGCCAGAACAGAAUAUGGGGUAACACACUGGCAUUGGUUGUUGCUUCUCAGAGUCAGAGGAGGCAGUUCAUUCUGACUGAACCUCCAAUGACCUUCAAAGAUAGAUCAAGUCCAGGCAUUUGAACCAAGUUUUAACUUCAAGUGGUGAAUGCUCAGCUACCUGAUAAAUCCCACUUCUGAAGCUUUCCUGGAGCAGUGGAGCAGGCAGGCUAGAAGAUGGACAUUUGACAGGCCACAAUAGACUGCUCCUUUCCCAGAUUAUGCCAGUGUUUACAAAGGUUGGGAUUUGUUGCAUCCUCAUCAGUUUUUACAUUUGCCCAAGAAUCAGAUUCAGUUUAGCCUAGCAUUCUUCACAAAAAUAAAAGGGUGACAUAUCCUAACACAUUUGUGCAUUUGAAAAGUAGAAAAGCUGAUUUCAUGCAUAAACCCUGUCCUAAAGCUGUCUCCAAGGUGAAAUUAUACCAGUAUUGGUAUAGGAAGUGCAAAGAGCCAUGCAUUUAAAUUGCAUAUGGUGACGUGCUUGAGCACACUUUCUUAUGCUAUAAUCAGAAAAUGCUGCAAUAGCCUUAUUGUCCAGUUUUUAACUACUGAAACUUUGCUUUAAAUCUAAUCUCUUCAUGAUCAAAAGAUACCUAAAACACCUCAUUUGUGUCUUAAGUGAUAGCCAAUCUUCUUUGUAUGUAUGAGCUUCUAUCAGUAUUUUUUAAAACUGUAAUACUGGGCAAGAAGAUGUAUUACUGAAUGCUUAUUUUACAGCUGCAUUACCUGGACAAACAUAUACACAAGUCAUGCAUUAAUCAAACGUGACAUAUAAGUAUGUUCUAGCAUAAACACAUGAAUGAAUUUAUUGAAGUAUUGAUAAUUCUUUGUGAUUUUACUCAGUGACAGUGAAUAAAAGUGUGGUUUAGUAAGACUAGAAAGAAAUGUGAAAUUAUUAAAGACACACAAAGAGCCAGAAGGGGCAAUACUGCCAAAUUAGUCUUUUUCUAAGGUCUGAUGCUUUAGCCUGUAGUUAAAAUGAGCUUUGCCACUGAAAGACCAUUGUGACCGUAAUGCUUGUUCCCUAAACAGGAGUGGUGUAGCAACAACUAUUCAGUCGCAGGUUCUUAGGUUGUUUGUAUAGUAUAAAGCCAGUAGAAACCAUUGCAAUUCUCUAGCUGGACCUCCCACAUAACAUAGAUCUAAGAAUUUCAUGGAAUUAAUUCCUUCUGGAAUUAGAGUGCAUGUUUGAGAAAACAUGCUAUUCUUUAUUAUAACAUUUUCAGAGACAAAAAAUCUACAAAAACUCUGAGUAUGAUGUUUCAAUAAUUAUCAUAACAAUGAAAGAAAUGGGACUUUUAGUCUAAAUUUCUGCAGCCUUUAAUUUCAGCCACUGAGUCUUGUUGUACACUGCCAAAGGUAUAAAAAGAUUUGCCCAAACUGAAGACAUUGAUCAAUAUUCAUGUUUCUUUAUUAAAAACCUUAUACAACUUGGACAAAUUACUCUUUAAUUUUCUAUCGUGGCUUCUCUACAGAUAGAACUUAGCAUGCAGAAAUCAUAUGAAUUCACAAGGCUUCAGCUACUCAGCUCUGGUUUGCCAGGCACACCCAUCUGAUGAAUGCUAAGUAGCUAAGACACAAAAUACCUUACCUUAAAGAAAAUUUUAAUGUAACUUGCAGAAGAUUGUUUCUAUUUCAGUUUGAAAUGAAACAAACUGUGUCUAAAAAAGUAUGAACUAGCAGCAAGGAAAAAAAGUGGUGUACAUUCUCUCCCUUUAGGCAAUACUCUUGUGCAUGCAGAUCACAUGAGGCACUGUUAUCAUUGUCAUAUAAGCAUUGGGCCAGGCUAAACCUUAUAUUCUCAAAAGUAUUUGAUAUGCUUAUACUUCCAUUUGGUCUGGUCAGGGAGUAGAACUGUAUCAUUUCAGUUAUGGUCUGAACAGCACAUAGGCAUAGCUGAAGUUAGAACUGUGAUUAUGUUAGAUUAGAUUAGGCUAUCUAACUCAUUUAAAGAUCAUGUAUUGGCUUUAAAUUAAUGGGGGGGGGGGGAUGGAUAAAAAAAUUGUCAGGGAAGGAAAAGAGUUAAUGUCAAAAUCUUUUCCAACAAGAAGAUCAUUAUUAAUAGCAAGACAUCAGCGGAACCCUUAACUUCAUGGAAAUCACGGUAAGAGGUUGUAAAGAGAUUAAAGAGAUAUAGGUACAGAAGGAUGUUGCUAUUAUUUUAUCUCAUGGGGUAUGUUGCACAGUAUUAGGAGCCUGGGUAUGGAUUUGGAUGGUAGAACCACUGACAGCAUAUGACUGCAUGGAAUUGCAAGAUGGUAAGUGCAGCUCAUAGUCCCACACUGAAACCCAGUAUUCUGCUGCUAAAGAGCAAACAGAGAUGAUAAGGACCUCCUACAAAGUAGUAGACCUCUGGAAAGAUCCAGAAGUCAAUAUUUUAAAUACUGAUUUGGACAGCUGGUGUUACCAUGGUAUUCCAGAAACCUACCCAAAGCAACACUGAUAUGGACCAGAUGUAGGUGAUGUGUCAUUGAGUCCCUACUGAGAUAGAUGUGCAGUUCCUGAGGAAGGAGUUCUUCAGGUAGAAAAUACAUGGCCAUGAUUUUGAAGCAUGUAGCUACAAAUAUCAAUUAUGACAGCAGCUUGAUGUAACUGCUUGAUCCAAAUCCGAGGCAUCCUUCUUAGAAAAGGCCUGAAAUUGAGAGCCAAAAAAGCUCUUAGCACUAUGGGUUGAGAUUGAGUACAGUGUUGCAGGGAGAAAUCUCAUCUGAAUUUCUGCCACAUCCUCUAACAUCAUAUUAGCAACAUCAGAGGUUUCUGAUUAAGGGCCUCCCAUUGAGAGAAAUCCUAUCAGCUUCCUUGUUCCUAUGACAAAACCAGGCCAUGUAAAACCAUGUGUUGUUUGCUUGAAUCCCAUUACCAAACAAUGCACAUAAUUUAGCAUGUUUUUUCCUCAGGCACUUCUGCCUGAGACACCUUUAGGAUGGCCCAGAUGCAGGAGUAUCCCCACAACUGUAGGACAGUUCUGGGCAGGAAUGUCCUCCCCCCCCGUAGAAGUGGGGUCAAUGUGCAUACCAGUGUGCAAGUAAUGGGGGUCAGAGACAUAAAUGUGCAUACACAUAUGGCAGAGCAGGAUCAAGAAACCCAAGCCCAUGCUCUCAUUAGGAUCCUCUUAUCACAUUAGCCAAAGUCUGACUUGAUUGUGCUUUGUCUAUAUCUGUGCCUGUGACUUUUAUAUCCCAUGCUGUUUUAACAAGAGAUGGAAGAGAUCCAGUCAGAAAAGCCAAAGCCUUGUGAUGAGAUCUGGUUGUAUUGGGCCUUUGUAAUUAUGCUGCUUGUUUGGGAGUCAGGAUCUUUGAGUAAGGGGGCCUAAAGCAAAAUUUUUGUAAUUACUCUUGGAAUUAAUAUCACCUUCAGAUAUUAAUAUGAAUAUAUCAUCUUACUCUUCCUACUUGGCUGUAGGCUACGUUUGUUUCAUAAUUAGUCUGCCCUUCUUUCCUUGUUUUGGGAGAUAUCUAUUAAAAUUGUCAUAAGCAGUUCACAAUUUCUAGUCACAUUUUUUUGUCCAUGUUCUUCUCACAUUUGAUUUGAUUUGAUUGAUUUGUUGCCACAUUUGAUUGGUUUGUUUUAUUCUGUUCAGCCAUCAAAUUUCUUUACCAUCCCUUGCUCCCAGGCAACCACUAAUGCUUAGUUCUUCAAGUAAUUCCCCUUUACCUCCUCACCGUAAGGUCCAAGAUGGAAGCCUACAUGGCAGAAGCAACAAUCUGAAUAAAGAUAUCACCUAGGAUUUCUCGGCAAUUCACUAAUGUUUUGACAUUAGAAACAUG